ensembl:snRNA U6 U6 spliceosomal RNA
GUGGUACUCACUUCGGCAACACAUAUACUAAAAUUGGAACGAUACAGAGAAGAUUAGCAUGGCCCCUGCUCAAGGAUGACAUGCAAAUUCAUGAAGCAUUCCAUAUUUUU